UUGCCCAUUCAGUAUAUUCAAAAGAAACUUAAAUUUGGUUAAGUCAAUGAGGCAGAGAAGCAGUAGCAAUAGAGGCUUCUGUUUGUCUAGGGGAGAUCUGAUAGGAGCACAGUAGCUCUGGAUCAUCAUCUUGUCCCUAGUCUGUGGCUAACAUGAUGGCAUUUUUCAGACAAGAUUGCAAAGAUUGUAGCAAGAGCAGCCACCUUGACAGCCUCGGUGCCCUGUGGGAGACAUCUCUGGAUGCCUAGCUAUGGUCUGUUCUUCCAGACUUUACAACUGUUUCCUAAGCAUGUAAUUCUCUAUGUUAUCAUAUUUUUUUACAUAGCUAGAAUGCAAUAGAUUCCUGACUGGUCCACCAAAGAAUCACCAUUAGUACACUCAGUGUGAAAUUAGUACACUCAGUUGGGGAUGAGAUCAGCAAACAGAUAGGGGUCAAAAAAGUCCACUAAGACUAAUAAUGAAGUUAUAGAGCAAAAAAGUGAAAUGUUUCCAUGGCCUUUCCACAUGAAAAUGACAAGUUUUAUUUGCCUUCCUCUAAAUAAUUAUGGAAGAAAAUUUUACAGUUUAAUUCCUUUAAAACAUAAGCAUGGAAUUUACUAUUUAAUGAUUAUUUUUCAACUCUCAUGUCAUCAUAGAAUCUUGAGUUUACAGCCCUAAGUCAUUUAUGAAACCAUAUGAGACAAUUUAUUAUUUUGCUUAAACCCUUAGAAUGGGUUUAUUAUACUUAAAAAAAAAACUCAUUAUAUUCACUUCAUAGACCCGUAUAUAGUUGGAAACUAUAAGGAUGUCCAACACAAACUCUAAUCAUUUACCCAUUCAUUUAUUAUAUCCCAGUCAAUUUGGACCUUUGCUGUGAUCCUCAAAUACACCAAGUUCAUUCUUGUCUUCCCAUUUUUUACUACCUGUCCCAUCUGCCUGCAGUGUUCUGCCCAUUGAUGUUUGCAUGGUUGGCAUAUCCCAUUUAUCUAGAUAUCAGCCAAAACUUCACUUCUGUUUAAAGGCCCUGCUUCAAGGCUAAAUAUAAACUUAUUACCCCACCUCACACUUGCUGAUUUAAUAUUUUUCUUUUCUUUCUAGUGUGUUCAGGAUACCUCUUAUUUAAUCCAUGCUGUUUAUUUUCUACAUGAUUGGCUGUCUAUUGCUACUCGAUUGUAACUUCAGGGAACAGUGAUUUUACUUCUCCCACUUAUAGCUUUUUCCCAAUGCCUAGAACAGUCCUGACAAAUGGGAGGUGAUCUAUAAAUGUCAUGUUUGGAAAAUGAAUAAACUGAUUUCAGCUGAAAUUCUCCCAUCUUGAUUUUCUUACUCAUAUUUCCCACUUUUGAUCAGGCUAAUUGUUGAUUAACAACCUUUUCAGUGAGAUUUUUACUUCCUGGUUGCGAAGGGUAUAAAUCACAGGGUUCAAUAGAGGAAAGAUCACCGUGUGGAAGAGGGAAACCACCUUGUCUGCUGGAAAGGCUCUGAAGGGGCGGGUGUAGAUGAAGAUACCAGGCCCAAACAUGAGAAAUAUAACAAUGAUAUGGGUGGUGCAUGUAGACAUGGCUUUGGUAUUCCCCUCAGAGGAGGAACCACGGACACGACAGAGGAUGACAGGAUAAGAGGCCAGAAGCCCCAAGAAACACAGGAGGGUCAUGAGACCACUGUUGAAGACCAUCAGGAGCUCCACCACAAAGGUGUCAGUGCAGGCCAGCUUGAUGACCUGUGGCACAUCACAGAAGAAGUUGUCUAGUCGGUUUGGACCACAGAAGGGCAAGUGGAGGAUGAGGGCCACCUGGAUGAUGGAGUGGACAAAGCCUCCAAGCCACUGAGCCAAGGACAAGGCAUAGCAUGCUCUAGGGUUCAUGACAGUUGAGUAGUGUAAAGGACGACAGAUGGCAAUGUAGCGGUCCAAGGCCAUCACUACCAGGAGUAACAUCUCCCCUCCUCUAAGGAAGUGCAAGAAAAAGAGCCGAGUGAUGCAGCCUCUGUAGGAGAUCACCUUCUUCUCAGAGAGGAAGUCCACCAGCAUCCUGGGAGCCACGAUGAAGGAGUAGGAUGCAUCCAGGAAGGCCAAGGUGCCAGAAAGAAGUAGAGUGGAGCCGUGAGGCCAGGGUCUGACCUGAUGGUGAGGAUGAUGAGGAAGUUUCCAGGGAGGAUGAUGAGAUAGAAAAUGAAAACUAGCACAAAGACCAGGAGCUGGAUAUUUUGAGACUGGGUCAGACCAACCAGGAUAAAUUCAGUCACCACAGUACUGUUCUCACUCUCCAUUUCCUCUGCCUGCAGUACAUCAGGGAAUAGAGGAUUUAUUUCCAUUCUUUCAUCUAGGUUAUAGUUCUUCUAUAACUAAAACUUGUGUAUUCUACAUCUAUGUUACACCACGACCCUCCCACAAAGUAAGAAAUCUCUCCUACCCUUUAGUCUUCUAUAUAUCAUAAGCACCGACUCCCUUGUCUUGAAGCUAUACUUGUCACCUCUGUCCUGUGUUCCAAUUUAAUUGCUCUCUCGUGCAGCACUCUGUCCUGACCUGGAUUUGUUCAUGAUUUUUGUGAGAUAUAUGAACAUUUUUCUGACAGAGAAAAAACUUAAACACAGAUAUCAAUUUCUGAAGUUUUAUUUGAAAUGGGAGGGGAUUGCGAUGAGGUAGGGAUUGACAGCAAAGAGGAAUGACAGAUAUUUUUAAGGUAACAGAAAUGCUCCAUAUCUCAAUUGUAAUGGCUACAAAUGUCUUUUAUUUUCAAAAUUUAUUGAACUAUUAAACUAUACAGAAACUGGUACAUUUACUAUAUAAUAGUAAUAUAAGAAUACUUACCUAAAAAGUUAAAAAAACAAUUAUGACUUGAAAUGUUUUCUUUUUCUCUAUAGAAUAUUAACCCAUCAUCCUGGUCUAAAUAAAAAGAAUCUUGGAAGGAAAUCUCUCCUGUGAAAUGUAUACUCCCUUCAUCUGGAGGUACAAGGAGACCCUUAUCAAUGGAGGUAGGGAAUUGAGGCUGAGAAACCUGUAUGAACAAAUCUUGUUACUUCUUUAUUUUUCUACCCCAAACCCCAACUCCAUUAGAUGCGUCACUGAUUGAGCACCUAAAACCUGUUUCUUUGUCCUAUCAAGUCCUCACAAAUUUAUUGAGUUUUUCAUCAAAAGAGUAUAAAAGCUUCUGCUUUGGACAGUUGUUUAUGUCCCAUUUCUAUGAGGUCUCCAUGGACAUGAUUAAAAUUGGUUUCUUUUCCUCUGUUAACCUAUCUUGUUUCCAUUUCAUUAUUAGUCCAGCCACAAGAUCAAGAUGGGUAGAGGGGAAAAUUUCCCCUCCCCAACAUAAACAUCAAUGAUUAUACCCCAUUCUUUGAACUACUUUUGAAAGUGUCAUAGUGUAAUUUAAUGUAAAAAUACAAAAAAAAAAACCCCUAAAUGUAUUGUUUUUACAUGCUCAAAAAUUGUUUAUUGUUAGGAUAAGAAAAUGUAAAAACUUGAAGACUUUUGAACUAGAGCAUAAUACCGCAGUGUGAUAUAUAACAAUAUUGCACAUGCUUUCAGUUACAGGACACAUUUGUUUUUAAGUAGAGUGGAUAAUGGAGUGUCGAGAGGAUGGAAAGAUGGGUGUACUACUUUUAACUAUAAAUGGUGAUAGAAUGAAAGAGAAGAUAAAGAAGGAAAAAAAAUUCACAUCCCAAAUCAAGAAACCAAAGAACAUAUUUAUAAUGGCAUAUCUAUUUAAAAUAAGAGUUCCCAUCAUGGCUCAGCAGAAACGAAUCUGACUUAGCAUCCAUGAGGACGUAGGUUUGAUCCCUGGCCUCGCUCAGUGGGUUGGAUCUGGAGUUGCCAUGAGCUGUGGUAUAGGUCGCAGAUGCAGCUCUGAUCCCAAGUUGCUGUGGCUGUGGCAUAGGCCAGUGGCUAUAGCUCUGAUUCAGCCUCUAGCCUGGGAAUCUCCACAUGCCACAGGUGGAACUCUAAAAAGAUGAAACAACAAAAAAAAUUAAAAUGUCUGAUUUUGUAUGCCUAAACCCAGAUAGAUUCAUUAAUAGCAGAUGUUAGUCAAAAUUAGGAAUUAUUAAAGAGGUACAUUACAUCACUUAGGCACUCAGCAUGUGUGCUCACACAUACAUAUAUGCCAAGCACACAUGUUGUUUCCUAAGCAAAACUGAAGCACAAACAUUUACAGAUGGCCUGAUCCAAAUUGCUUUGCUCUUCUCCACACCUUUCCUUUCCUUCCUUUCUUUCUUCUCUUUUUCUUUCUUCUCUCCUCCCUCCUCUCUCCCUUCCUUUCUUGUUUUCUCAGCAUUCAUUAGCUUCAAUAUUUAUCAUUCCAUCUUAGCAUAAAACCAACUGUUUGAAAAGUAAGUCAAGAAUCCCUCUGUACUUAUUCCUAUACUGUUUGCAUCUUGCACUCUAUAACACACUUGGUUAUUUCAUACUCUUUCAAACACUGAGGCUACCUUUAUACAUAAGAAAAAUCUUUAUCUCUAAGUUUAAGAGUUGUAGGCUUUUCCCUCUCUGCCUUGUGUUUUAUUUCCUAUCAUGCACUUAUGUUCUUCUAUUGACUUCUUAACAGAUGGGAUUUAUUACCACCUAACAUCCCUCACUUCUUUCAGUUAAUAUACCCUAUGUAAAGUUAAGACCAAAUAUUAACAUCUUGAAGACAACUGGAAUUUUAAUAAAGGCUUUAUAUAUCCCCAAUAAAGUAAUUCAAAAUAUCAGGAUAAACUAGACAUAUAUUAUUAAAAACAAAUAAAAUGUGCUACUGUAUUAUUGAAUUCAGACUUGAAAUAUUAGUUUUUUUCCAACUAUAAUUCUGACCAUUGCAUUCCAAGAGAGCAGAUGUCCCAUCAGAAGAGUUGUGAUGUUUCCACUUAUUCCUUCUUUCUGUUCCUCAUACAUAUGUAGAAUGACAAACAAAUUUACCUCUCUAGCAGUCCAACAUUGCUAUCCCACAGUAGACACCACCUUCUAAUGGAAGGGACAAUAAUUGAUUAUUCCUGCCUUUGUUCUUAAAUAUCUCUUCUCACAGAGGGGCCUCAAUGUUUGGAAAUAACAACCAAUUUGUGAUGCGACAGAGAAUGUACUUUGGGAAUUUGAAGACUAACAAAACUACAGAACACUUUAAAGGGAAAUUUCAGAAUGCCAGUAAGAUAUUAUCAAAGAAUUAGAGAUUUGUUAAGUACAAAUAUGCACAUACAUAUCAGUUAAGGAGACACUGUGUCACUUAUGGGUUCUGAAAGCAAUAUUCCACUAGUGACAGAAAUAGUGGAAUGGUGAGCAUGUUUAUUGAGUCUGAGUGAAUAGAAAGCCAAGGGAUGUUUAUAUGUUACACUGCAAUUCAAAAAGACAAAAAUAGGAGUUCCCAUCAUGACUCAGUGGAAAUGAAUCUAACUAGCAUUCAUUAGCUUGAGGAUGCAGGUUUGAUCCCUGGCCUUGCUCAGUGGGUUAAGGAUCAAGCAUUGCCAUAAACUGUGGUGUAGGUCACAAUCGUGGCUUGGAUUCCACAUUGCUGUGGCUAUGGUGUAGGCCAGCAGCUGCAGAACCAAUUCGACCCCUAGCUUGGGAACCUCCAUAUGCUGCAGGUAC
rnacentral:lncRNA from 1 species